UACGUAGUGGGCAAGCGUUGUCCGGAUUUAUUGGGCGUAAAGAGCGUGUAGGCGGCCAAGCAGGUCCGCUGUGAAAACUCGAGGCUCAACCUCGAGACGUCGGUGGAAACCGUUUGGCUAGAGUCCGGAAGAGGAGAGUGGAAUUCCCGGUGUAGCGGUGAAAUGCGCAGAUAUCGGGAAGAACACCCGUGGCGAAGGCGGCUCUCUGGGACGGUACUGACGCUGAGACGCGAAAGCGUGGGGAGCAAACAGG
rnacentral:rRNA from 1 species